AAUCCGAGCUUCGGCCUGUGACA
rnacentral:miRNA from 1 species